AAGGGAUAAAAGACAACAAAUAUGGUGCAGUGUAUACUGCUCAGGUGAUGGGUGCACCAGGUUCUCACAAAUCUCCACUAAAGAACUUACUCAUGUAACCACAUACCACCUGUACCCCAAUAACUUAUGGAAAAAUAAAAUUUAAAAAAAGAGGUGAAAGACUUGUACACUGAAAAUUAUAAAACAUUAAUUAUGAAAAAUUUUUAAGAGCACAGAUAAAUAGAAAGACAGCCCAUGUUCAUGGAUUAGAAAGAUUAAUGUUGUUAAAUAUCCAUGCUACCCAAAGUGACCUAUAGAUUCAAUGCAAUCCUUAUCAAAAUUGCAAUGGCAUUCUUCACAGAAAUGGGGGAAAAUCCUAAAAUUCACUUGGAACCAGAAAAUAGUCUAAAUAGUCACAGCAAUCUUUAGAGCAAGAAGAACAAAGCUGGAACAUCACACUCCCUAAUUUCAAAGUAUAUUACAAAGCUACAGUAAUAAAAACAAUAUGGUACUGGAAUAUAAACAAACAUAGACCAAUAUGAAAUAGAAUAGAAAGCCCAGAAAUAAAUCCAUGCAUUUACAGAGUGCCAAUGACACACAAUAAAGAAGUAUCUCAAAUAAAUGGGGUUGGGAAAAUUGGAUAUACAUGUGCAGAAGAAUAAAAUUGGACAUUAUCUCAUACCACAUGCCAGAAAUAGAUCAACUUGAAAUGGAUUAAAAACUUAUAUGUAAGACCUGAAACUAUAAAACUACUGAAAGAAAACAUAGAGAAAACGCUUACUGACGUUGUUCUGAACAAUGAUUUUUUGGAUUUCACUCCAAAAGCACAGGCAAUAAAAGCAAAACUUGACAAGUGGGAUUGCAUCAAACUAAAUACAUCUGCACAAUGAAGGAAACAAUAGAGAGAAGACACCUAUGAAUGGGAGACAAUAUUCGCAAACCAUAUAUCUGAUAAAGUGUUAUAAGGAACUCAUACGACUCAAGAGGAAAAAAGCAAAUAACCCAAUUUGAAAAUGGGCAAAGGACCUAAAUAGAUAUUUCUCAAAAGAAGAUAUAAAAAUGGUUAAUAGAUAUAUGAAAAGAUGCUCAACGUCACUAAUCAACAUGUAAAUGCAAAUCAAAACCACAAUCAGAUAUCACUUCACUUGUUAGAACGGCUAUUAUCAAAGACAAAAGAUAGGCUUUGACAAGGAUAUAGAGAAGAGAUAAUCCUUGCACACUCUUGGUAAGAACAUAAAUCGGUACAGCCAUUAUGGAAAACAGUAUGGAGUUUCCUUUAAAAAUUAAAUAUGAUCCAGCAAUCACACUCCUGGAUAUAUAUAUCCAAAGGAAAUGGAGUAAGUAUCUCAAAGAGGUAUCUGCACUCCCAUGUUCACUGUAGCAUUAUUCACAAUAGCCAAGAUAUUAAAAUAACCUAAAUGUUCCUCAACAAAUGAAUGGAUAAAUAAAAUGUGGUGUAUAAAAAUAAGGAAAUCCUGCUAUUUACAACAAGGAUAAACCCAAACGACAUUAUGCUAGGUGAAAUAAGCCAGUCACAGAAAGACAAAUAAUGCAUGAUCUCUCAUGUACUGAAUCUAAAAUAGUCAAACUCAUAGAAGCAGAGAGUAGAAUGGUGGUUGCCAGGGCCUGAGGGAAGAGAGAAAUGGGAAGAUGUUGGUCGAUGAGUACAAAGUUUCAGUUAUGCAAGAUAAAUAAGUUCUGGAGAUGUAAUGUACAACAUUGUGACUAAAGUUAAAAAAUAGUGUAAAAAUGCUCCUCAACUUAUGAUGGGGUUAUGUCUCAAUAAACCCAUCAUAAGUUUAAAAUAUUGUAUGUCAAAAAUGAGUGUUUUGUAGACCUAAUUUGAUACAAAACACAAUAUUCAAAAAAUGCUGGCAACAGUGCACUGUAGCAUAUUGGUUGUUUCCCCUUGUUAUUGGGUGGUUGGCUGGGAGGUGCAGCUUGCUGUCACCACCCAGCAUCACAAGAGAAUAUCAUAGCACAUUUUGCUAGCCCAGGAAAAGAUCAAAAUUCAAAGUCCAAAGCAUGAUUUAUAUUGGAAUGCAUAUUGCUUCUGCACCAUCAUAAACUUGAAAAAUUAUAAGUUAAACAAUAAUAAGUCAGGGACUGUCUACAUUAUAUAUUUGAAAUUUGCUAAAAUGGUAGAUCUUAAGUGUUCUCACAAAAAAGAAGAAAAAAACAGAGAGAAAGAAAGGGAAAAUAGAAAUUAGAGAGAAAGAAAAAAGGAAAGAAGGAAGGAAGGAAAAGAAAGAAAAAUAGAAAUGAAAGAGAGAGAAAGAAAGAAAUGAAAAUGGUAAGUAGGUGAGGUGUUAAUUAACUUGAUUGUGGUGGUCAUUUCACAAUGUAUACAUAUACUAAAACAACAAGUUGUACACUUCAAAUAUAUAAAAUUUUUAUUUGUAAAUUAUACCUAAAUAAAUCUGUAAAGAAGUGUCUAAAGCCUCCUUUAAUGUUGGUUUAAAAUCACCUUGGGUGCUUGCUUUGGCAGCACAUAUACUAAAAUUGAAAAACUAAAGAGAAGAUAAGCAUGGCUCCUGCUCAAGGAUAACCCAAAAAUUCAUGAAGUGUUUCAUAUUUCUGGUAUAUCUGCUAUGGAAAAUAGCAUGGCAGUUUCUCCAAAAAAAAAAAAAAUAGAAUUACCUUGUGAUCUAGCAAUUCCACUUCUGGGAAUAUACACAUAAGGGUUGAAAGCAGGGUCUCCAAGAGAUAUUUGUACACCCAGGAGGCUCAAUAGAUACCUAGUAGAAUAAAUCCAAAGAGAUCAACCCCAAGACAUAUUAAAAUCAAAUUGUCAAAUUUAAAAACAAAGAGAAAAUAUUGAAAACUGCCAUGGAUAAACAACUUGUUCAAUACAAGAAAACCUUUCAUAAGACUAUUAGCAAAUUUUUCAAAGGAAACCCUUGCAGGCCACAAGGAAAUGAAAUUAUAUAUUUUUAAGCUGGAAAAAAUUAAAAUCUGCCAGCCAAAAAUACUGUAAUAGCAAUUCUGUUCUUCCAAAUGAAGGGAUGAUAAAAACUUUCCAAGACAAACAAAACCUGAGGAAAUUUGUCACCACUACACCUGCCUUACAAGAAAUGCUAAAAGUACUCCUUCAAGCUGCAGGGAAAGAUUGUUAAGUGGCAACAUAAAAAUAUAACACUCACUAGUAAAUAUAAGGCAUACAGUCAAAUUCAGAACAUUCUUAUAUUGUAGUGGUGGUGUGAAAAUCAAUUAUAUCUUUAGUAUGAAGGUUAAAGGCAAAACUAUUAAAAACAACUGUAGCUACACUACUUUGUUAAGAAACACAAAUUACAAAAGAUAAAAGACAUGUCAACAAAAACAAAUUGGAUGUGAGAGUAAAAGUGUAGAAUUUGUACAAGUGACCAAAAUUAAGUUAUCAGUUUAAAUAGCCUGUUAUCAGUAUAAGAUAUUUUAUGUAAGCCUCAUUGUAAGUACAAAUAAAAAAUCCUUAGUAGAUAUACAAAAAAAUAAAAAGAAAGAAUUCAAAGCAUACCACUACAGAAAAUCAUCAAACCAUAGAGGAAGACAGUAAUAGAGGAAGAUAAAAACAACCAGUCUACAGAGUAACCAGAAAACAAUUAACAAAAUGUCAAUAGUAAAUCCUUACCUAUUUAUAACUAAUUUAAAUGUAAGUGGGUAAAGUUCUUUAAUCAAAAGAUAACAAGUGGCUAAAUGGAUUUUAAAAAAGAAAAAAAGACCCAACUAUGUGCUGCCUACAAGAGAUUGAUUUCACCACUAAGAACACAGGUCGACUGAAAGUUAAGGGAUGCAAAAAGAUGUCAUGCAAACGGAAACCAAAAGUGAGUGGGAGUAGCUAUACUUACACCAGAAGAAAAAAAAAAAGACUUGAAGUGAAAAACUCUUAAAGAGACAGAGGAGGUCAUUCUAUCGUGAUGAAGGGGUCAAUUUAUUAAGAAGAUAUAACAAUUGUAAAUAUAUAUGCAACCAACAUUGGGUCACCUAAAUAUGUAAAGUAAAUAAUGAAUCUGAAGGGAGAGAUAGAUUGCAAUACAAUAAUAGUUGGAGACUUCAAUACUUCACUUCAACAUUGGAUGGAUCAUCUAGACAGAAAAUCAACAUGGAAACAUUGGACUUGAACACUUUAGACCAAAUUGACCUAAUAGAUAUUUAUAGAACAAUCUAGCUAAUAACAACAGAAUACACAUUCUUUUCAAGUUCAUACAGAACAUUCUCCAGGAUGGAUCAUAUGUUAGGCUACAAAACAAGUCUUAACAAAUUUUAAAAGACUGAAAUCAUACUAAGUAUCCUUUUGGACAACAAUGUCAUGAAAUUAGAUAUCAAUAAUAGGAGGAAUCUUGGAAAAAUCACAAAUACGUGAAAAUUAAACAACAGUCUCCUGAGCAAACAAUGAGUCAAAGAAGGAAUUAAAAGGAAAAUUUAAAAUAUUUCAAGACAAACAAAAAUGAAAACAUAAUUUAUCAAAAUUUAUGAGAUGAAGCAAAAGUGGUCUUUAGAGGAAAGUUUACAGCAAAAAAAAAAAAAAAAAUGCCUGUAUCAAAAAAGACUAAAGAUCUCAAAUAAACAGCAUAAUAUUACACCUCAAGGUGUAAUACAAGAGGAAGAACAAGAAGGACAAGGUAAGCCCAAACAUAGCAGAAAGAAGAAAAUAACAAAGAUCAAACUAGAAAUGACAAAGUAGAAACUAGAAAAGCAAUAUUUUAAAAAUCAAUAAAACCAAGUAGUUUCUUAAGAGAUAAACAAAACUGGCAAAUGUUUAGCUAAACUAAAUAAAAAAGAGAAGGCAUAUAAAUAAAAUCAGAUAUGAAAGAGGGAAAAUUACAACAUACCACAGAAAUACAAAAGAUCAUAAGAAACUACUGUGAACAACUAAACCUAACAAAUUGUAUAACCUAGAAGAAACGGAGUAAUUCCUAGAAGCAUGCAACCUACCAAGGCUAAAUCAAGAAGAAAUAGGAAAUCUGAACAGACCAAUCAUGAGAAAGAUUGACUAGUAAAAGUCUCUUAUCAAAGCAAAGCCCAGAACCUGAUGGCUUCAUUGAUAAAUUCUGCCAAAUAUUUAAAGGAGAACUAAUAUGAAUUAUUCUCAAACUCUUCCAAAAAAUUAAAGAGGAGGGAAUACUUCCAAGCUCACUUUAUAGGGCCAGUAUUGCUCUGAUUAUCAAAGCCAGACAAGGAUACUAGAAGAAAAGAAAAGUACAGGCCAAUAUCCCUGAUGAACACAGAUGCAAAAAUCCUCAACAAAAUACUAGCAAACCAAAUUCAAUAAUAUACCUAAAAAAAAUUAUUCACCAUGAUCAAGUGAUUAAUCUCAGGAAUGCAAGGAUGGUUCUGUAUAUGUAAAUCAAUGUAAUACACCAUAUUAACAAAUGAAGGACAAAAACUCCACGAUUAUCUCAAGAGAUGCAAGAAAGUAUUUGACAAAACUCAAUGUCUGUUCAUGUUAAGAACUCCAAAAAAGAAAAAAAAAAGAUAUACAGGGAAUGUACCUCAACACAAUAAAGGUCACAUAUGACAAACCCACAACUAACAUCAUACUCAACUGUGAAAAGUUGAAAGCUGUUCCUCUAAGAUAAGGAAGAAGACAAGAAUGCUCACUCUCACUAUUCUAUUUAACAUAGUGCUGGAAGUCCUAGCCAGAACAAUAAGGCAAGAAAAAUAAAUAAAAUGCAUCGAUAUAGGAAAGGAAAAAAUGAAAUUAUCUUUGUUUGCUGAUGACAUGAUCUUAUAUAUAGAAAAUCCUAAAGACUUCACUAAAAAUCUGUUAGAAUUGAUAAACAAAUUCAAUCAAGUUGCAGGUUACAAAAUCAAUACACAAAAAUUCAUAGAAUUUCUAUACACUGUCAAGGAACUAUUCAAAAAAAUUAGGAAAACAAUCUCACACAUAAUAGCAUCAAAAAAAUAAAAUACUUAAGAGUAAAUUUAACCAAGGAGUUAAAAGACCUGCAUGCUGAAAACUAUUAAAAAAAAAAAAAAGCCUAAAACACUGAUGAAAAGCCCAGGUGUGAUGGCUCAUGUCUGUAAUCCGAGCACUUUAGGAGGCCAAGAUGGGAGGAUCUCUUGAGGCCAGGAGUUUGAGACCAGCCUGGGCAACAAAGUGAGACCUCAUCUUUACAUUUUUAAAAUUAGCUGGAUAUGGUGGUGCAUGCCUGUAGUCCUAGCUACUCGGGAGGCUGAGGUGGGAAGAUCACUUGAGCCCAGGAGGUCAAGGCUGCAGUGAACUAUGAUCUUACCACUGCACUCCAGCCAGGGUGACAGAGUAAGACUCUGCCUCUAAAAAUUUUUUUUUAAUAAUAAUAAUAAUUGAAAGAAAUUAAAGAAGACACACAUAAGUAGAAAGAUACCUAUAUCCAUGGAUUGGAGCAAUUAAUAUUGUUAAAAUGUCCAUACUGCUCCAAAUGAUCUACAGUUUCAAUACCACUUAUAUCAAAAUUCCAAGGUCAUUUUUUACAGAAAUAGAAAAAAUAAUAUUAAAUUUGUAUGGGACCAGAAAAGACCAUGAAUAACGAAAGCAAUACUGAGCAAAAAGAACAAAGCUGGAGGCAUCACACUCCCUAAUUUCAAAAUAGAUUAAAAAGCUAUUGUAAUCAAAACAGCAUAAUUUAAAAAUAAUAAAAACAGAUACAUUGACCAAUUAAACAGGAUAGAAAGCACAGAAGUAGUCCCAAGUAUUUUCAGUCAAUUGGCUUUUGACAAAGGUGCCAAGAACACAAUUGGAAGAGAAAGGACAGUAUCUUCAAUAAAUGGUGCUGGAAAAACUGAAUAUACACAUGCAGAGGAAUGAAAAUGCACUCAUAUCUCACCCUUUAUACAAGAAUCAAUUCAGAGGAGCCAAGAUGGCCGAAUAGGAACAGCUCCGGUCUACAGCUCCCAGCAUGAGCAACGCAGAAGAUGGGUGAUUUCUGCAUUUCCAUCUGAGCUUUGAAGAGAGCAGUGGUUCUCCCAGCACGCAGCUGGAGAUCUGAGAAUGGGCAGACUGCAUCCUCAAGUGGGUCUCUGACCCCUGACCCCUGAGCAGCCUAACUGGGAGGCACCCCCCAGUAGCGGCAGACUGACACCUCACACAGCCAGGUACUCCUCAGAGACAAAACUUCCAGAGGAACGAUCAGACAGCAGCAUUCACGGUUCACAAAAAUCCGCUGUUCUGCAGACACUGCUGCUGAUACCCAGGCAAACAG
rnacentral:lncRNA from 10 species